CCUACGGGAGGCAGCAGUAGGGAAUAUUGCUCAAUGGGGGAAACCCUGAAGCAGCAACGCCGCGUGAAGGAUGAAGGUUUUCGGAGUGUAAACCCCUUUUGUUAGAGAAGAAAAUGACGGUAUCUGACGAAUAAGCACCGGCUAACUCCGUGCCAGCAGCCGCGGUAAUACGGAGGGUGCAAGCGUUACUCGGAUUUACUGGGCGUAAAGAGCGCGUAGGCGGGUUAGCAAGUCAGAUGUGAAAUCCUAGGGCUUAACCAUAGAACUGCAUUUGAAACUGUUAGUCUAGAGUACGGGAGAGGUAGGUGGAAUUCUUGGUGUAGGGGUAAAAUCCGUAGAGAUCAAGAGGAAUACUGAUUGCGAAGGCGACUUGCUAGAACAUAACUGACGCUGAUGCGCGAAAGCGUGGGGAGCAAACAGGAUUAGAUACCCUAGUAGUC
rnacentral:rRNA from 1 species